rnacentral:rRNA from 1 species
UACGGAGGGUGCAAGCGUUAUCCGGAUUCACUGGGUUUAAAGGGUGCGUAGGCGGGCAGGUAAGUCCGUGGUGAAAUCUCUGAGCUUAACCUAGGAACUGCAACGAUGACUGAUAAGCUUGAGUAUUGUAGAGGGUAGUGGAAUUUCCGGUGUAGCGGUGAAAUGCGCAGAUAUCGGGAGGAACACCGGUGGCGAAGGCGGCGAUCUGGGUAGAUACUGACGCUGAGGUGCGAAAGCGUGGGGAGCAAACAGG